rnacentral:rRNA from 1 species
AUAUCAAUAAGCGGAGGAAAAGAAACUAACAAGGAUUCCCCUAGUAACUGCGAGUGAAGCGGGAAAAGCUCAAAUUUAAAAUCUGGCAGCCUUGGUUGCUGCUCGAGUUGUAAUCUAGAGAAGUGUCUUCCGCGCUGGACCGUGUACAAGUCUCUUGGAAUGGAGCGUCAUAGAGGGUGAGAAUCCCGUCUUUGACACGGACUACCGAGGCUUUGUGGUGCGCUCUCAAAGAGUCGAGUUGUUUGGGAAUGCAGCUCAAAAUGGGUGGUAAAUUCCAUCUAAAGCUAAAUAUUGGCGAGAGACCGAUAGCGAACAAGUACCGUGAGGGAAAGAUGAAAAGAACUUUGGAAAGAGAGUUAAACAGUACGUGAAAUUGCUGAAAGGGAAACGCUUGAAGUCAGUCGCGUUAGCCGGAAAUCAGCCUUGCUUUUGUUGGGUGUAUUUUCUGGUUGACGGGCCAGCAUCAGUUUUGACCGGUGGAAAAAGUCUAGAGGAAUGUGGCAUCUUCGGAUGUGUUAUAGCCUCUGGUCGUAUACAUCGAUUGGGACUGAGGAACUCAGCACUUGUGCUUAGGAUGCUGGCAUAAUGGCUUUAAUCGA